GGCGAACGCUGGCGGCGUGCUUAACACAUGCAAGUCGAACGGAGAGGCCCUGCUUUUGUGGGGUGCUCGAGUGGCGAACGGGUGAGUAACACGUGAGUAACCUGCCCUUGACUUUGGGAUAACUUCAGGAAACUGGGGCUAAUACCGGAUAGGAGCUCCUGCUGCAUGGUGGGGGUUGGAAAGUUUCGGCGGUUGGGGAUGGACUCGCGGCUUAUCAGCUUGUUGGUGGGGUAGUGGCUUACCAAGGCUUUGACGGGUAGCCGGCCUGAGAGGGCGACCGGCCACAUUGGGACUGAGAUACGGCCCAGACUCCUACGGGAGGCAGCAGUGGGGAAUAUUGCACAAUGGGCGGAAGCCUGAUGCAGCAACGCCGCGUGCGGGAUGACGGCCUUCGGGUUGUAAACCGCUUUCGCCUGUGACGAAGCGUGAGUGACGGUAAUGGGUAAAGAAGCACCGGCUAACUACGUG
rnacentral:rRNA from 1 species